rnacentral:misc_RNA from 1 species
UCCCUUCUCUCCUUCCUUUUCCUUUCCUCCUUCCUUUCCUCCUCUCCUCUUUUCCCUCCCCUUUCUCUCCUUUUUCUUCCUUUUCUCCUUCCUUUUUUCUUCUCCUUCCCUCUUCAAAGUAAAUCUUUUGUUAACUCAAUUGGUUUCUACUUUGGUAUUGGAGGUCUUUGCAGCUUCACACCUGCUCCUCUUUGUUCAUUAGCUGGAUCUCAGUGUUAUGCUUGGUUCCACUCGGCGUGAUAAGUUAUCUAUCGCUGAGGACACUGUAAAAGGUGGCCAAGGUAAAUGCAGAUGAACCGCUUCUAAUAGUCCAUUGACUUGGACAAUACUUUUAUGAUCCGAUCUCAAAUCAGGUAGGACUACCCGCUGAACUUAAGC